rnacentral:rRNA from 1 species
AUGGUGGUACUUCUUUGUCCGAAAAUGGCGCAUCUUGUGUCCUUUUUUCCACUAAUGUUUGUUGUUUUUGUGCAUCAUGUCUCCACAACACCAAGCUAUGAUGAAUAUCCUAGGAAGGUACUACAACACAGAGGAAUUUUAUCCUUGAACAGUAGCUCCCAACUGUUAGAUGCUGAAAUGAUGUCAAUCCGGCCAAGACCGAGACAAGUUGUGCAUCUUGCAGCAUAUGAAUCGUACCAAGCCGCUGGAAACCAAUAUACUGGUGCUAUGGCCACUUUUGAUGUCUAUGGUUUUCCAAACUUGGUUAAGGGUGAAUCAAGUUCAGCCCAAAUCUGGGUAAUAAAUAAAGGAAAUGGUGAAAGCGACAACGUCAACAAAAUUAUGUCUGGAUGGGAGGUCAAUCCAGACAUCUAUGGUGAUAGCAAAACACAUUUUUUCGUAUUUUGGACGGCUGAUGGGGAGGAUGAGACCGGAUGCUAUAACUUGAAUUGUCUAGGCUUUGUGCCUGUAAAUGGGGCUCCUAUUACGCCCGGAGAUAGCCUAGAGCUACCACAUGGGCAAACAAGAAUCUCACUCAAGAUAUAUAAGAGUAGAGAUGAUGGAGAUUGGUGGUUGUACUACGGAAAUGAUAACAUUGGUCUUACUAGGGUUGGAUAUUGGCCAAAGGAUCUUUUUACCACCCUGUCAGGCCAUGCCACACUUAUAGCAUGGGGUGGAAUGACCACGUCUUAUGAAGGACGUUCUAGUCCUCCGAUGGGCAAUGGGAAAUGGGCUGGAAGAGAAUCGGCAACAGUUCGAAAUGUUCAGUAUGUUGAUACAAGUGGUGGAGGUUAUGAUCCCCCUACAUGGCCUGCUGGUCUCCAUAUUGUUGAAACACACAGAAACUGCUAUCGUGCUACCACUUUUGGCGAUGGCAUGUUCCACUAUGGGGGCCCGGGUGGUUGUGUUCGUUAA